AGAAUCAACGCUGGCGGCGUGCCUAACACAUGCAAGUCGAACGAGAAAGUGGAGCAAUCCAUGAGUAAAGUGGCGCACGGGUGAGUAACACGUGACUAACCUACCCUUGAGUGGGGGAUAACCUAGAGAAAUCUGGGCUAAUACCGCAUAAUACCUUCGGGUCAAAGGAGCAAUUCGCUUGAGGGAGGGGUCGCGGCCGAUUAACUAGUUGGCGGGUAAUCGGCCCACAAGGCAAUGAUCGGUA
rnacentral:rRNA from 1 species